AGGGUGGCGAGGCAGAGGUUAGAUAGAAGGGUGACGAGGCAGAGGUUAGAUAGAAGGGUGAAGAGGCAGAGGUUAGAUAGAAGGGUGGCGAGGCAGAGGUUAGAUAGAAGGGUGAAGAGGCAGAGGUUAGAUAGAAGGGUGACGAGGCAGAGGUUAGAUAGAAGGGUGAAGAGGCAGAGGUUAGAUAGAAGGGUGAAGAGGCAGGGGUUAGAUAGAAGGGUGGCGAGGCAGAGGUUAGAUAGAAGGGUGACGAGGCAGAGGUUAGAUAGAAGGGUGAAAGGGCAGAGGUUAGAUAGAAGGGUGAAGAGAGCAUAGUGAGAGACAGA
ensembl:lncRNA